CAGCAGCCGCGGGAAUACAGAGGGUGCGAGCGUUAAUCGGAUUUACUGGGCGUAAAGCGUGCGCAGGCGGUUAUAUAAGACAGAUGUGAAAUCCCCGGGCUCAACCUGGGAACUGCAUUUGUGACUGUAUAGCUAGAGUACGGCAGAGGGGGAUGGAAUUCCGCGUGUAGCAGUGAAAUGCGUAGAUAUGCGGAGGAACACCGAUGGCGAAGGCAAUCCCCUGGGCCUGUACUGACGCUCAUGCACGAAAGCGUGGGGAGCAAACAGGAUUAGAUACCCCCGUAGUCCCUGUCUCUUAUAA
rnacentral:rRNA from 1 species